UCGUCAUCGUCGUCGUCAUCAUCAAUCUCAAGAGGUGAACUAGCACUGAAACCUUUCAACUUUGACUCAUCGGUGGCUUCGGCAACAGGAGGCAAUUCUUCAUCUUUGUCUUCGUCAUCAUCAUCUGAAUCAUCUUCCAACAUGAUAAUCUCAUCUGUCCGGAAGGGUUUUGGAACUGGAACUGCAGGAGCCUCUACAUUCGAGCUUUUUGCUGACUCGGCAGCAGGUAAUUCGGAAUUUUGAGUUUUUAAUGCAGUCACAGCGGGUUCUGCAACCGACUUCAACUGCUCACUCGUUCCCAAGAAAGAAUGAAAGGGUAGACUCACCGAAGAUCUGAUUUUAUCCAACUUGUUCUCUUCCUUAUCCUUCUUAUCAGUAUCUAAUUUUCUCUUUGGGGCUGAGUUUCCCAAUAGCGACCCGAGACCUCCUCGGUUGGUCUUCUUUUGCAACAAAAUGUUCACUCCAGUAACCUGCGCUACCGGAUAUUUAUCGCCAUUGGAGUGUUUGCUCAGCUCCGAUGUUGUUGGGCCCACUUGAGAGACCUGUCUACUCCCGUUUAGAAAAGGAUGCAGUGAAUGGUCUACCUUUACACAUUUUCCAGGUACAAAGGGCCGA
rnacentral:misc_RNA from 1 species